UUACGGCCAUAUCACGUUGAAACACCGGUUUCUAUAUGAUCACCAAAGAUAAGCAACAUCAAGCCUGGUCGGUAGUUAGAUGGGUGACCGCUUGGGAAUACCAGGUGCUGUAAG